GGGCGUGAGGCGGCGCGGGGCUGACAGCGGGUGCGAGCGGUUUGGAGCGGGCCCGCGCGGCUGUCCCCUGGAAAACUGCGCCUCUCUGAUCACCCGGCGGCCCUUGCAGUAGCGUCUGGGUUGCCUUGUCCUCCUUCCCAAAGGAGCUGCGCUAGGCUGUGCUUUACAGGAGGAAAGAAGCGAGAAACAGUAAACGCGAGGCUCGGCGUGGAAACCUUGGUCUAAACCGGCGUGUUAACGCGAGGUGCGGGGGGAGAACGCGGUGGGUACCGCUGCAAACCCAGGGGAGACGGGUGUCACCCAGUCCCCAUGUGCAGCGCGGUGCCUGGGCACCCAAGGGCACCCAGGUGCAGUGUGGUUCACGGGCAGCGUACAAACGUUAAGCCGGACCAGUGGUGUUUGUUAUCUGUACCGGCUCGGCGCAGAGAGGAGCCCCGGUCACAGCCUAGGAUGCCAUUUUGCAAGAUGCUGUACAAACAGAACAAAGAGCACAUGUCCUAAGUGCGCAACAAAAGGCGGCAGUUAGGCACAGGUAGAUGGCAGAGUGCGAACAGACAAGGAGGUGGUGUCGGUCAGCAUCGCUGCGGUCAGGAGUAUUUUUGCUGCAUUGUCUUUGUCAAGAAGCGAUGAGAUUCUGAAAACAAAACGUGACCAAGGGGAGGUUUACCCAAGUGUGUGAAAAAUCAUAACUGAUGAUGUAGAUGUCUUUGAAAAUUUAGCGAGUGAACAACGGAGAAACUUCCUGGUUCUGAAGGCAAAGUUCUCCGGAUUUUGCAUGGAAAUACUGGAGUAUGACGCAGAAAAGGAAAAUAGCCUUCUGCAAAUUACAGAUAAAAUGUAUGGACUGCACAUCUGGGGACGGGCCACGCCAGGCACAGGCAGCUGGCCCAGGUUCGUUUACAUCUAGUUAGCCAUCUACGUGAACUAGGUGCCCAGACCCAACUGCCAGCAGGGAGAAACAAGCUCCUGCUGAAGGUGAUUGAUCAGAUGCUGACAGGCAUACGAUUUUCUCACCUACAGGGACCGUUUCUGUCCAUUGACUGUAAAAAGAGCUUUGCACCAGUAGUCCAGAAUUGGACAUCUACUCUUUAAAAUUGCAGAAUUAUGUGAGGUGAUUCACCUGUGCUUGAACCUCACACUACGUAGAAAUCUCCUGACAGGAAGCAGUGGAGUAAACCGUCUCCUUGUGCUCUUUUCCACUGUGCAUUCUCUCUACUGUAUAAAGAAACAUAUUCCUUACUUUCAGAAAGCAAUUAUUUUGAAACAACUUCCUUCUCUUGACCUUUCCUCCGUUGCAGCAUACUUUUUCCAUACCAAUUUGUGAGAAACAAACCAGAAGUUCCACUGAUGGUUACAAAACGCUGGGUUAUGUUGUAAUCCCACAGGAACCAUUCUUGGAGAGAACCAUUUCUAAUCAGCAGGAGAAAUCGCAACUGCCAACCACAAAUGUUAUCCCUAACAGCCGUGUAAUCUUUCUGGUUGUUGCGUUCCAGAACUUCUGCUGCGUGGCCAUCACCCAAACCACUGUGCUUAAAGAUCACAGUGGUUUCCCAGCAGCGUUGAGCCUAUUUCCCACUGAACUCCCAGCUAGUCCUUAUUUUAGGAGCUGAAAGGUGAUUCAGAUAAUGCGUUCAAAAGUUCAGGUGGAUGGGUCAUGGUGCCCUCCACGUGGUGCCGCCCACGGUGUCCAUGGGUCUGUGCAAGGACGGGUCUCAUUCUCAGGUAACGCCGAUGAGGAAAGAGAGGCCGUUUUCCUCACACCUCGUUCUGUCCUCAAAUAGAGGCACAAGAGAGCAGAGAAAGCACCAAGCAUCCCAUGUCAUCUCUGCAACUGGAACGGUGGUGGAGGGCAUCUUUUAGCAGCAGUGCAGGAGAGCACAUGGAAGAGGUAUGUGUAACAGACAAAUGCUUAGGAGGUUUAGGUGGACUUUCCCACAAACUGACAGAGUUGAGAAUUCCAUAGCCAGACAUUCUGUCAACCAGUGAUACCUGUGUGAACCCAGAAAACUCAUCUGUCUUCUGCUGAAUAUUUGUAUGGCACAUGACCUAGAUAGUUUGAAUGACAAAAUUGAUGGCAUCACUAUUAGCAGUUUUUAAAAAAAUGCUUCGGGGAAAGAAAGGAAAUGAUUGAACCUUCAUUUUGAAUUCCCUUAGUUUUCAGUUUGAUUUAAUCUAGAAGUACAGUUGUUCCAGAAUAGUCACUUGCACCCUAUUUUAAUUCAGCUGAGAUAAAGUAAAUGCAUCUUUAAGACAGAAGGGAUGGGCAAUAUAUUUGUCUCUGUGCAUCAGGCAUUCACUCGCAGCUAGUGUUUGGUCUCUUAAAAUUUACUUUUUUUAUAGCAUUGUACUAGGGAAAUGCUCAUGGUAUGAUUAUGAUACUGAAUAUGAUAUGCUGAUAGCUUUGUGGAAGUUAAAGAUCUAAUAAUAUUUUCAAUAUCUUACGGUAUAAAUGUUCUGGCAUGCAUGACUUCUCAGUUAAAAUUUUAUUCAUAUUAAAGAGGAUGUGAAAGGGGAUGGUAGCAAUUUCUAAGUAUCUUUUUGUAUGAAAAUUCUUGUUGCAGAGAAAAUUACAGUUGUUCCUGAAAAAAAAGUGUUCACAUAUGAGGUUAUUAAAGAAUAGGCUGUUGCUGUGUAAAUCCAUAUGAAGACUUGCCAUUUAGUCAAUACUUGAACCAUUGUUGUGCACAUCAAACCUAUGCCAGUUGCUGCAUUACCAGCAUCUUGAGCAAUUAAGUAAUCACUUUGUCACUGCUUGAGUUUAAUAAAACUCUCCAUAAAGACAAUUAACAUUAUACUGUAGAUAAAUCACCCUUUAAUCCCUAUUUAUAAAAAGAAGAACUACAUAAGUAUAAAAUUGCACUGGAACAAAUGUUACGUUAUUCCAGCACAGUGUAUCUGUUUUGCUUGGGUUGCACUGAUACAAUAAAAUCAACACAAUUAAAUCAA